GAUGAACGCUAGCUACAGGCUUAACACAUGCAAGUCGAGGGGAAACGAUAUUGGAAGCUUGCUUCCGAUAGGCGUCGACCGGCGCACGGGUGAGUAACGCGUAUCCAACCUGCCCAUCACUUGGGGAUAACCUUGCGAAAGUAAGACUAAUACCCAAUGACGUCUCUAGAAGACAUCUGAAGGAGAUUAAAGAUUUAUCGGUGAUGGAUGGGGAUGCGUCUGAUUAGCUUGUUGGCGGGGUAACGGCCCACCAAGGCGACGAUCAGUAGGGGUUCUGAGAGGAAGGUCCCCCACAUUGGAACUGAGACACGGUCCAAACUCCUACGGGAGGCAGCAGUGAGGAAUAUUGGUCAAUGGACGAGAGUCUGAACCAGCCAAGUAGCGUGCAGGAAGACGGCCCUAUGGGUUGUAAACUGCUUUUAUAAGGGAAUAAAGUGAGUCUCGUGAGACUUUUUGCAUGUACCUUAUGAAUAAGGACCGGCUAAUUCCGUGCCAGCCGCCGCAGUAA
rnacentral:rRNA from 1 species